UGGCCAAAUGAUGUUUGAAUCACCACCCAUCCAAAGCAGACCGAAUGUCUGCAUGUGCAGAGAUGUGAUCUUCUGAUGGCUA
rnacentral:snoRNA from 1 species